UCUUGAAAUUUAAAGGAUUUGGCGGCACUUGAGUCUGGUUAGAGGAACCUGUUAUUUAAACGAUAUUCCACGAAUUAUCUUACUCUGCUUUGUAGUCAGUAUGUAUACCUCCAUUCUAAGAAUGGUAUAUUAAUAUAGCCAUUUAAAUUGAUUAUUGUUAAGUAUGUUAGGUCAAGGUGCAGCCAAUAGUAGAGGGAUAGAUGGGUUACAAUAUAUCAUAUAAUAUAUGGAUAAUCUCUUGAAAGGGAGAUUUGAAGGUGGAUUUAAUUGUAUUUUUAUUUUAAUAUGUUAAAAUGAUGUUAGCUCUAAAAUAUGUACACAU
rnacentral:rRNA from 1 species